GUAGGUGAACCUGCGGAAGGAUCAUUAUUGAAAUAAACCUGAUAGGUUGUUGCUGGCUUCCUAGCAUGUGCACACCUUGUCAUCUUUAUAUCUCCACCUGUGCAUCUUUUGUAGACCUUUCAGGUCUAUGUUUCUUCAUUUACCCCAAUGUAUGUUAAUAGAAUGUUGUGACUAUAUAAAAUCUAUACAACUUUCAGCAACGGAUCUCUUGGCUCUC
rnacentral:misc_RNA from 1 species